CGCCGUGGGAACCCUGCCCUCUUGUGGGGGAUAACAUGCGGGAAACUUGCAGCUUAUACCGCAUAAUGCCCGAGUAAUCUUGGGCAAAGAUUUAUCGCGAGGAGGAGGGGCCCGCGUCGGAUUAGCUUUGUUGGUGGGGUAACGGCCUACCAAGGCAAUGAUCCGUAGCUGGUCUGAGAGGAUGAUCAGCCACACUGGGACUGAGACACGGCCCAGACUCCAUACGGGAGGCAGCAGUGGGGAAUAUUGGACAAUGGGCGCAAGCCUGAUCCAGCAAUGCCGCGUGAGUGAGGAAGGCCUUAGGGUUGUAAAGCUCUUUCGCACGCGAACGAUGAUGACGGUAGCGUGAGAAGAAGCCCCGGUAACUUCGCGCCAGCAGCCGCGGUAAUACGAAGGGGGCGAGCGUUGUUCGGAUUUACUGGGCGUAAAGGGCGCGCAGGCGGUUUGUUUGUCAGAUGUGAAAGCCCCGGGCUUAACCUGGAACUGCAUUUGGGACGGCGGAGCUAGAGAUCGGGAGAGGAGAGUGGAAUUCCCAGUGUAGAGGUGAAAAU
rnacentral:rRNA from 1 species